rnacentral:tRNA from 1 species
GGCCUCGUAGCUCAGUCUGGUAGAGCACUCUGCGGUACUAAAGCGAGGGUGGAGGACAUGGCGGUGGGUUCGAAUCUCCGCCGAGGCCA